rnacentral:misc_RNA from 1 species
UCGUAACAAGGUUUCCGUAGGUGAACCUGCGGAAGGAUCAUUAAUUAUGUUAAAGCGCCUUACCUUAGGGUUUCCUCUGGGGUAAGUGAUUGCUUCUACACUGUGAAAAUUUGGCUGAGAGACUCAGACUGGUCAUGGGUAGACCUAUCUGGGGUUUGAUCGAUGCCACUCCUGGUUUCAGGAGCACCCUUCAUAAUAAACCUAGAAAUUCAGUAUUAUAAAGUUUAAUAAAAAACAACUUUUAACAAUGGAUCUCUUGGUUCUCGCAUCGAUGAAGAACGUAGCAAAGUGCGAUAACUAGUGUGAAUUGCAUAUUCAGUGAAUCAUCGAGUCUUUGAACGCAGCUUGCACUCUAUGGUUUUUCUAUAGAGUACGCCUGCUUCAGUAUCAUCACAAACCCACACAUAACAUUUGUUUAUGUGGUAAUGGGUCGCAUCGCUGUUUUAUUACAGUGAGCACCUAAAAUGUGUGUGAUUUUCUGUCUGGCUUGCUAGGCAGGAAUAUUACGCUGGUCUCAGGAUCUUUUUCUUUGGUUCGCCCAGGAAGUAAAGUACAAGAGUAUAAUCCAGCAACUUUCAAACUAUGAUCUGAAGUCAGGUGGGAUUACCCGCUGAACCUAAGCAUAUCA